rnacentral:rRNA from 1 species
CAGUAGCCGCGGUAAUACGUAGGGUGCAAGCGUUAAUCGGAAUUCCUGGGCGUAAAGCGUGCGCAGGCGGUUAUAUAAGUCAGAUGUGAAAUCCCCGGGCUCAACCUGGGAACUGCAUUUGAGACUGUAUGGCUAGAGUGUGUCAGAGGGGGGUAGAAUUCCACGUGUAGCAGUGAAAUGCGUAGAUAUGUGGAGGAAUACCGAUGGCGAAGGCAGCCCCCUGAGAUAACACUGACGCUCAUGCACGAAAGCGUGGGGAGCAAACAGAAUUAGAUACCCGCGUAGUCCCUGUCUCUUAUAC